AUUGAACGCUGGCGGCAUGCCUUACACAUGCAAGUCGAACGGCAGCACGGGAGCAAUCCUGGUGGCGAGUGGCGAACGGGUGAGUAAUAUAUCGGAACGUGCCCAGUCGUGGGGAUAACGUAGCGAAAGCUACGCUAAUACCGCAUACGAUCUAUGGAUGAAAGCGGGGGAUCGCAAGACCUCGCGCGAUUGGAGCGGCCGAUAUCAGAUUAGGUAGUUGGUGAGGUAAAGGCUCACCAAGCCGACGAUCUGUAGCUGGUCUGAGAGGACGACCAGCCACACUGGGACUGAGACACGGCCCAGACUCCUACGGGAGGCAGCAGUGGGGAAUUUUGGGACAAUGGGCGGCAAGCCUGAUCCAGCAAUGCCGCGUGCAGGAUG
rnacentral:rRNA from 1 species